GCUGAAUAAGGAGCUUCAAUCACUUCACAGAAUUUUCAGUCCUGUGUUGAGGAGUGGGCCUGGGAGAUUCUGAAAGGGUUCAUUUUAAUGGAUUCAUUUGCCAAGAAGUUUAUGCCUGGCAAAAAUGACUCAAAAUGAAAGAUCAUCAAUAUUUUCUCUAUGGCAGAAAGAGAGCAGAGGAUCACAUGUGCGAUUACAGGGUUUACCUUUCCAGCUCCUGCAUCAAAGGGAAGAGCUUAACAGUGCUGCUGUUCCCCACUGGAUACAGGGCAUAGCAAAUUGGCCCUUUGUGGAUAAUAAUGGAGCCUGAGCUUGAACCAGCACUUGUCUGUGAUUUCACAUCAUUCCAACAAGCUCUUGCUGACUUUAUUUGCUGCCUUCUGUCACUAAACCCUUGUAAACAGAUUUGAGUCCAGUAUUUACUAAUAUCUUCAUAUCAUCCUCUGGACGGGAUCUUGCGUCUGUUGUCGAAGAUGACAGAGACUGUGGCUGAGAUGUGUUGAUGAUGUUUUGGCUGCCUUUCAAGAAAGCACAGAUGCUCUGAGCACCUUUCUAGAAUUUUUAAGUAGUCAGAUGUCUUCCCAUUAAAAUUUACAGAGGAAAUGGAGAAAUAAAGCUUAAUGUCUUUUUCUAAAGAGAUAUGUC
ensembl:lncRNA